CCCGCUGAACUUAAGCAUAUUAAUAAGCGGAGGAAAAGAAACUAACAAGGAUUCCCCUAGUAACGGCGAGUGAAGCGGGAAGAGCUCAAGCUUAAAAUCUCCGUGCAAGUUUUGCGCGGCGAAUUGUAGUCUAUAGAGGCGUGAUCAGUGUGGGCGCUUGGGGCAAGUUCCUUGGAAGAGGACAGCAUGGAGGGUGAUACUCCCGUUCAUCCCUGAGUUGCUCGUGCGUACGAUCCGUUUUCUUUGAGUCGCGUUGUUUGGGAAUGCAGCGAAAAAGUAGGUGGUAAAUUCCAUCUAAAGCUAAAUAUUGGUGCGAGACCGAUAGCGAACAAGUACCGUGAGGGAAAGAUGAAAAGAACUUUGAAAAGAGAGUUAAAGAGUACCUGAAACUGCUGAAAGGGAACCGAAUCGUUUUCCAGUGUCUAUAAUCCCGUGGUAUAUUUUCAUUUGGCGAGUGUGUGCGUGCGUGUGCUGUGGCAGCGGCUUUUUUGGCUGCGCUCGGCGUGUGUGCUGUGUGUGCUUGCUGGUGCCCUGUGCUGCGGUGGGACGUCAAGGUCAGUUCGUAUGCUGCGGGAAAUGGCCGCCGAGGAGGUAGGGCUUACGCUUGCGUUUGUCUGUUAUAUCUUGGUGGACGAGUAGUCGCGGUUGGGACUGAGGUGCCUACAACGUGUUUUUGAGUGGGCCUGUGUCUCUGUGUGCGCCGUGUGCGGAUAGCUUGCUAUGCGUGUGUGGUUGUGUGUGGAUUGAUGUGGGUUUUAACUUGUUGCCGUUCGGGACGUUGACGAAAUGGAGCGAUUUGACCCGUCUUGAAACACGG
rnacentral:ncRNA from 1 species